CUUUCUCUGUCAAAAACUUGUUUACACUUCUACUGCUUAACUAGUCUUAACUUAAAUUUUCUGGGUGAACUAGAACUAGAAGAAGAAGCUGAUGAGGAAGAGAAAAAGGGGCAAUAAAUCACCAACGGGUCAUGGAUUGAAAAGGAGUUUUGUAUGGGAAAAAAAUGCUCUCAACAAAUGGGUAUUUCAUGAGGCCCCUUGUGCGAUUAAAAGAUCAUUAUGCCUUUGGGGUUAAGCAUUUCCACGGAAAAGCCAUGGUCAAGGCGGACUAAUAUCCUAGUAUUUUUACUUCGAUUUCAGACAACUCUGAUGCGGAUGGUCAGCAAUUAUAAGGUACAAAUGUGAUCUUCCCAAACGUAUUGAAAGGCUUGAAGGAUAUUAGAGUUGGAGAUGUAACACAAGAGGAAAGUAAACCAUCCAGCUAUAUCAGCAAUUUCAAUCGAAGAGGUACCGAGUUGAAACGAGCCUAGUCAAGGAGAUACAAGUCAAAGCCUAGUUGGACAUAUUUCUGCUGGAAAGAUUGAUGAGCGAGAAGUCACUUCUUCCAAUUGUGAUUUUUAAUCUUCCAAAUUAUUUAUCUGUUUAUGUAUGUAACUUCAUUUUCCAUUGCAUAACUGUAUUAUUAAUUCCUGGUUACCGGCCAGUGAAGGGUGGCAACUAAUCAGCUUAUGAAUCCGGGAAACUCUUCAAAAGUAUUA